rnacentral:rRNA from 1 species
UACGGGGGGAGCAAGCGUUGUUCGGAUUUACUGGGCGUAAAGGGCGCGUAGGCGGUCAGCACAAGUCAGUUGUGAAAUCUCCGAGCUUAACUCGGAAAGGUCAACUGAUACUGUGCGACUAGAGUGCGGAAGGGGCAACUGGAAUUCUUGGUGUAGCGGUGAAAUGCGUAGAUAUCAAGUGGAACACCAGUGGCGAAGGCGAGUCUCUGGACAUUUCCUGACGCUGAGGCACGAAAGCCAGGGGAGCAAACGGG